rnacentral:sRNA from 1 species
UAUUUUUGGCAUCGCUCUGCCCGCCGGUUGUGACUUUGUUAACUUGGUCCACAGCUUUACACUACAAACAAAUUCCAUUAUACAUACCCACACAGAAAUAGCAAAAUAAAAAUCUUGAAUUUGUGAGAGAAGUUUUAUUGAGGUUUAUAUUAAACCACCGAUGUGAGACUGAGAUUUAUAGUUUAUUUCUUUUUUCUAUUCCAACUGAUGAUUGAAUUUGUGUGUAGAGAUUUUAAAAAAAGAGUUUUUGCACCCUAAACUUAUGUUUGAAUAUUGAAAAUUUUGGAGAUUGUUAUUAAUUUCAGUUUGAAAAUACAAAUUUGUUAUUAAUUAUAUGGCACCAUCAGUAUUGAACAUUGUUAUUGUCGUUUAGAUUUUUACUAAAGUGUAUUUUUAAAUUUUAUGUAUAUCAUUGGUGGAAACAAUUGCUAUAAGCACAGACACUUGUGUAUCAGCUGACACCAUAUUGUUGUUUGUUGUUUGUUGAAAACGUAUGAACAACAGAAACUAGUUCCUCAAUGUUUCACAAAGUAUUCUCGUAAAUUUUAUCGAGAAACAAACAUGAUCAUAUUAUAUAUUAUUGCAAUGAUGGAUUUUUUUGGGACCAACCAAUGCUGAUUGUUUUAAAUCCUUCUUAUUGUAAAUUGUUAGAGACGAAUAUAUCGAGACAUUUAUUACCAUUUCAUUCAAUACUGUAAUUAGUGAUAACUUUAUCACGAACGGUGCUCUGCUACGAAAACGGUUGGUCCCAAAUGCAAUGUUAAGUUAACUGGUAUUAGAUGUAUUCUGUAAAAAGACGUAUAUUUGGGUUAAAGAAUAGUGUAUUUUUGCAGACAGCUCCUUUUGUAACUGUAUACAUUAUACGCGAGUGUCUUUGAUCUGUCUGUUAACUGCAUGUUUUUUCUUGAACAUGUGAACCUGUGGGCAUUUCUAUCACAAUUCAAUGGUUAGUUAUUAUGUGCAGUUUUAUAGAAUUUUGUUAUUUUCAUCAGGAGGAACAAAAAUAAUAUAUUUUAAUUCAAUUAAAGUUUGUUUAUGAAC